rnacentral:rRNA from 1 species
UGCAGCGAUGCCGCGUGAGUGAAGAAGGCCCUUGGGUUGUAAAGCUCUUUCGUCGGGGAAGAAAAUGACUGUACCCGAAUAAGAAGGUCCGGCUAACUUCGUGCCAGCAGCCGCGGUAAUACGAAGGGACCUAGCGUAGUUCGGAAUUACUGGGCUUAAAGAGUUCGUACGUGGUUAAAAAAGUUGGUGGUGAAAUCCCAGAGCUUAACUCUGGAACUGCCAUCAAAACUUUUUACCUACAGUAUGAUAGACGAAACCCCAAUUUCUACUGUAGAGGUGAAACUCCCUACAUAUUAGAAAGAAUACCAAUUGCGAAGGCAGCUUUCUGGAUCAUUACUGACACUGAGGAACGAAAGCAUGGGUAGCGAAGAGGAUUAGAUACCCUCGUAGUCCAUGCCGUAAACGAUGUGUGUUAGACGUUGGAAAUUUAU